GAGAACCGGAAGUUCGUGCAUCUCAGAGGCCGCUGCUGCCAGGGACGCUUGCGGUUGCUAUCCUGGAGGGGUGGGGCGCGCUCGGUGACGUCAAGGCGCGGGGUUAGUGCGCACGCGUCCUAGGGGAAGCGGAACGGGUCGGUCACUGGAGGUGCUUUUGCUAGGUCUACUGUGGCGCUAAGUAUAAAGAGGCGUGGUGUAAGAUGUGAUUUGAUUCUCAGCUGAUGUUUGUGCACAGCUGAUUGAAUCUGCACACGAAGCUUGCAGAAGGAUUUGGAGGACACUUCACUUCAUGGAAGGGGACACGUCUCUCACACGAGGGACACCAAUAAAGCAGAGAAUUCUUGGCAAAAGCUACAACUCUUUUCAUUUGAGUAAACUGAGCUCUUCUUAUUUCUCUAUUGAAAGCAUGAGUUUCUCAACAAUUA